rnacentral:rRNA from 2 species
GACGAACGCUGGCGGCGUGCUUAACACAUGCAAGUCGAGCGGGCAUCAGCAAUGGUGUCAGCGGCGGACGGGUGCGUAACGCGUGAAUAAUCUGUCCUUGCUAGGGGGAUAACGUUUGGAAACAGACGCUAAUACCGCAUAAGACCACGGAGGGGAUUCCCUUUGGGGUAAAAGGAGUCAAAUCUGAGCGAGGGUGAGUUCGCGUCCCAUUAGGUAGUUGGUGAGGUAAAGGCCCACCAAGCCUACGAUGGGUAGCCGAUCUGAGAGGAUGACCGGCCACACUGGAACUGAGAAACGGUCCAGACUCCUACGGGAGGCAGCAGUGGGGAAUAUUGGGCAAUGGGCGAAAGCCUGACCCAGCGACGCCGCGUGAGGGAAGAAGGCCUUCGGGUUGUAAACCUCUGUCCCAUGUGAAGAGAAGAAGACGGUAGCAUGGGAGGAAGCCCCGGCUAACUACGUGCCAGCAGCCGCGGUAAUACGUAGGGGGCGAGCGUUGUCCGGAAUGACUGGGCGUAAAGGGCGCGUAGGCGGCCGAUUAAGUAUCAGGUGGAAGUCCCGAAUUCAAAGCGGGAAUUGCCUGGUAGACUGGUUGGCUUGAGUGUCGGAGAGGUUAGUGGAAUUCCCGGUGUAGCGGUGAAAUGCGUAGAGAUCGGGAGGAACACCAGUGGCGAAGGCGACUAACUGGACGAAGACUGACGCUGAGGCGCGAAAGCGUGGGUAGCAAACAGGAUUAGAUACCCUGGUAGUCCACGCUGUAAACGAUGGAUGCUAGGUGUAGGAGGUAUCGACCCCUUCUGUGCCGUAGUUAACUCAAUAAGCAUCCCGCCUGGGGAGUACGGCCGCAAGGUUGAAACUCAAAGGAAUUGACGGGACCCCGCACAAGCAGCGGAGCAUGUGGUUUAAUUCGACGCAACGCGAAGAACCUUACCAGGUCUUGACAUCGAAGGAACCUGAAGAGAUUCGGGGUGCCCGCAAGGGAGCCUGAAGACAGGUGGUGCAUGGUUGUCGUCAGCUCGUGUCGUGAGAUGUUGGGUUAAGUCCCGCAACGAGCGCAACCCUUGUCGUCAGUUACUAACGAGUAAAGUCGAGGACUCUGACGAGACUGCCGUGGACAACACGGAGGAAGGUGGGGAUGACGUCAAAUCAUCAUGCCCCUUAUGACCUGGGCUACACACGUGCUACAAUGGCCGGAACAAAGUGGAACGAAACCGUAAGGUGGAGUGGAUCACAAAAACCGGUCUCAGUUCAGAUUGUGGGCUGCAACCCGCCCACAUGAAGUAGGAGUUGCUAGUAAUCGCGAAUCAGCAUGUCGCGGUGAAUACGUUCCCGGGGUUU